rnacentral:rRNA from 1 species
AACGAACGCUGGCGGCAGGCUUAACACAUGCAAGUCGAGCGCCCCGCAAGGGGAGCGGCAGACGGGUGAGUAACGCGUGGGAAUCUACCCAUCUCUACGGAAUAACGCAUGGAAACGUGUGCUAAUACCGUAUACGUCCUUCGGGAGCAAGAUUUAUCGGAGAUGGAUGAGCCCGCGUUGGAUUAGCUAGUUGGUGGGGUAAAGGCCUACCAAGGCGACGAUCCAUAGCUGGUCUGAGAGGAUGAUCAGCCACACUGGGACUGAGACACGGCCCAGACUCCUACGGGAGGCAGCAGUGGGGAAUAUUGGACAAUGGGCGCAAGCCUGAUCCAGCCAUGCCGCGUGAGUGACGAAGGCCCUAGGGUUGUAAAGCUCUUUCACCGGUGAAGAUAAUGACGGUAACCGGAGAAGAAGCCCCGGCUAACUUCGUGCCAGCCGCCGCAGUAACAC